rnacentral:tRNA from 1 species
GUUCUUGUAGCUCAGUUGGUUAGAGCGUCCACUUAAUAAGCGGAGGUUUAGAGUUUCAUUCUCAAUGAUAGCA